AAAAACGUGUUGAUGGGGCCCAUAAGUAAGAUAACUUCACGCUUUGCAGAGAGUAAAUUCCAUUGGCUGAGAGAAUUUACCGUGAAUCCUUUCUUAAUCCUCCCCCUGAGCGGCCUGCUAAUAUAGUAGGACAGUACCUUCUGUUACAAGGUCCCAAGUUGGAUGAUUUAUUUCAUCAAUAAAGGUGGUACCGCGGAAGCUAAACUUUCGUCCUUUGC
rnacentral:ncRNA from 1 species